rnacentral:tRNA from 1 species
CAGCGCGGUGGCGGACGGGAAACGCCGCCGCCAGAUCAGCGGCAGGGGUACCGCGACGGUCCAGAGGAGCUGUUCGAAGCCGGACGGCGGUGGCC